AUUGAACGCUGGCGGCAUGCCUAACACAUGCAAGUCGAACGGCAGCACAGUAAAGAUUUCGGUCUUUAUGGGUGGCGAGUGGCGGACGGGUGAGUAACGCGUAGGAAUCUAUCUUGAAGAAUAGGAUAACCCGAGGAAACUCGGGCUAAUACUGUAUGAAGUCGAGAGACCAAAAGCAGGGGACCGCAAGGCCUUGCGCUUUGGGGUGAGCCUACGUCGGAUUAGCUAGUUGGUGGGGUAAAGGCCUACCAAGGCGACGAUCCGUAGCUGGUCUGAGAGGAUGACCAGCCACACUGGGACUGAGACACGGCCCAGACUCCUACGGGUGGCUG
rnacentral:rRNA from 1 species